UACAUGUGGGGCAAGCGUUGUUCGGAAUUACUGGGCAUAAAGGGUGCGUAGGCGGCUUGUUAAGUCAGGGGUGAAAGUUUUCGGCCCAACCGGAAAAUUGCCUUUGAUACUGGCGAGCUUGAGUGCGUGAGGGAUGGGGGGAACGAGCAGUGUAGCGGUGAAAUGCGUAGAUAUUGGAAAGAACACCGAUGGCGAAGGCACUCUACUGGGCUAUUACUGACACUCAGAGACGAAAGCUAGGGGAGCAAAUGGG
rnacentral:rRNA from 1 species